GGAGGGUGCAAGCGUUGUUCGGAAUUAUUGGGCGUAAAGAGCGUGUAGGCGGCUAGACAAGUCAGAUGUGAAAUCCCUGGGCUUAACCGAGGAAGUGCAUUUGAUACUAGGAGACUUGAGUAUGGGAGAGGGAAGCGGAAUUCCUGGUGUAGCGGUGAAAUGCGUAGAUAUCAGGAGGAACACCGGUGGCGAAGGCGGCUUCCUGGACCAAUACUGACGCUGAGGCGCGAAGGCGUGGGGAGCAAACAGGAUUAGAUACCCUGGUAGUCCACGCAGUAAACGGUGAACACUAGGUGUAGCGGGUAUUGACCCCUGCUGUGCCGAAGCUAACGCAUUAAGUGUUCCGCCUGGGAAGUACGGCCGCAAGGUUA
rnacentral:rRNA from 1 species